UGGGGAAUAUUGCACAAUGGGCGAAAGCCUGAUGCAGCAACGCCGCGUGAGUGAUGACGGUCGUCGGAUUGUAAAGCUCUGUCUUUAGGGACGAUAAUGACGGUAUCCAAGGAGGAAGCCACGGCUAACUACGUGCCAGCAGCCGCGGCAAUACGUAGGUGGCAAGCGUUGUCCGGUUUUACUGGGCGUAAAGGGUGCGUAGGUGGACCUUUAAGUGAGAUGUGAAAUCCCCGAGCUUAACUUGGGGGCUGCAUUUCAAACUGGAGUUCAAGAGUGCAGGAGAGGAGUGUGGAAUUCCUAGUGUAGCGGUGAAAUGCGUAGAGAUUAGGAAGAACAACCGUGGCGAAGGCGACUCACUUGUCUGUAACUGACGC
rnacentral:rRNA from 1 species